rnacentral:tRNA from 1 species
AGUUCUUUACUGGGUAUACGAAAAUUUUGAAAGUUUUUUACAAGUGUUCAAUUCACUUAAGAACUU